AUGGUGGGGGCGGUACGCGUGCGACCCCCCCUUUUCCUCCCGCCGUCCCCCCGCUCCCCAGCUCCGUCGGGGGUCGCGAGAAGAGGGAUGGGGAGAGUGGGUUGGUCUGGAGACCCUGACGACGGACUGAACCUCACACGCCCACCACCGGGCAGGGGUGGAGGGGUGGAAGGGGGUGACCAAGCCAUACCUGACACCCCACCCCUCAUCAACCCGACCUGCCGGAAGAGUCAGAAGGUCACAGGUUCUAAUUCCAGCUCCACUUUUCUGGUGUCUGACCUUGGACAAUUCAGUUCAUUUCUCUAGGCCUCAGUUACCUCAUCUGUAAAAUGGGGAUGGAGACCGUGAGCCCCACAUGGGACAGGGACUGUAUCCAACCCAAUUCACUUGUAUCCACCCCAGCGCUUAGUACAGUGUCUGGCACAUAGUAAGCACUUAAUAAAUACCACGAUGAUUAUUACUAAUAUUAUCUGGGAGAGGCGGAGAGAGGAGUCGGUCUGAGCCAGGGCCUGAUCGACAGUGGAGGGCAGCAUAUUCCAUUUAAUCCAGUUGAAACCAGUAGCGUUUACUGGGUGCCUACUGGGAGCAGAACAAUGUGGUGGGCGCUUGGGGGAGAGAAAAUAAUAGGCGUAACAGUUCUUGCCCUUGAAGGUUUUUACAAUCCUUGGACGUGUCUACAGAUUCUGUUAUAUUGUUAUAUCGUCCUCUCCCAUACGCUUAAUCCAGUGCUCUGCACACAGGAAGCAUUCAAUAAAUACGAUUGAUCGAUCGAUUGAUUGAUUGACCCCGACUGAGGCGGGGGCAGGAGGAAAGCUUACAGAUGGUAUCGACGAUGGCAAUAAAUCAAAGUCGACCAUGAGCAUGGAUUCGCACCCUUUAUUCAGCCCUCCUUCAGGCCCACAGCACUUAGGUACAAAUGUGUAAUAUAUUUAUUUCAUGAUGAUAUUUGUUAAGCGCUUACUAUGUGCCCAGCACUGUUCUUGUAUUAAUGUCUGUCUCCCCCUCUAGGCUGUAAAUUCGUUGUAGGCAGGGAACGUGUCUACCAACUCUGUUAUAGUGUACUCUCCCAAGCGCUUAGUACAGUGCUCUGCACACAGUAAGCGCUCAAUAAAUACGCCUGAUCGAUUGGCUGCAUCCGUAAACCAAUAUAUUUAAAAAUCGAUGCAACAGCGAUUCAGGCAAAGCGACCUAACUCAUCUGUUGAUAGGCUAGGUAAAUUAGGGGGGUCUGGGCGGCGCAAUGGCCUCAGAAGGGGGCUGUAUUUGCGCUCCCCCCACAGAGAGGACCUCUUACCCCCGCUCCCCACUGUCCCCCACCCCCCACUGGGAUCCUGCCUUGGGUGCCCCCGUCCCCCUCCCCUUUGUGAGGUGCCCAUAAGGAAGUUGGGGACGGAGACGGGCUUGGGAGUCAGAGGACGUGAGUUCUAAUCUCCGCCAUUUGUCUGCUGUGUGACCUUGGGCAAGCCGCCUCACUUCUCUGUGCCUCAGUUCCCUCAUCUGUAAAGUGGGGAUUAAGACUGUGAGCCCCACCGGGGACAACCUGAUUACCUUGUAACUACCCCAUCGCUUAGAACGGUGCUUGGCAUAUAGUAACAGCUUAACAAAUACCAUAAUUAUGAUUAGUGGGGUGGGGGGCGUCAAAGUCACCACAGUUUCCCGCCCCCCACCCACCCGCGGACAUUCCCCUGCGGACAUUCCCCCACUGGAUGAAAGGGAAAGAGAGGAGGG
rnacentral:lncRNA from 1 species